ACAAUCAAGGGCUCCACAGCCUCCCAGACCCAGACCAGCCUGGACUACACAAGCCAACCAGUGAUUAGACAGAAACCAGACGCAGGCAGGCCGCCCGCCCGCCCGGCCUCACGCGCUCCUCCGCGAUCCCUCGGCCCGGGGCCGGAAAGGGCCUCACGGACCGCGACGCCAUUUUCUCGGCGCCAUUGCACCGCUCGCCAGGAUUAGGCUGCCGGCAUGGCGUCGCUCCGCCUUGCCCCGAUCCUAAAUGCCGUUCAGGUCCACACGGCUCCCGCCCUCCUUCGCUGCACAGAGCCACUUACCCCGGCCGCAGGGAUCCCGCAGCCAUUUCCAGACCUACCACUGAUCUAGAGCGGAGACCAGCGAGACUACCGUCCUAGAGCGGUGGGCCGCGCGGCAAGCGGAAGAAAUCAACCGGCCACCGAGACGUGGUGAGGCUAGAGCGGCCGUGCCGCCCUUCUUACACGCAUGCGCCACCGGGGCUCCUCGGAGCGCCAGCCUAAUCGGCUGGGCACGCUUGACAGAUUCCCGAACCAAGGGGCUAAGCUAGGAGCCAAUGCCAUGAAGAGAUUCCUCGAGCUAUCCUGGAACAGCACUCUGCCCAGUAUUCCAAAAGCUUUAGAAACCCUCUGCGCCUACGGGGACUGGUGCUUCGUGGUAAACCAGCGUCAGACUCCGGUGGGAAGGAGCCAGGAAAACUCCAAAGUCCCUUUGCGGGCCGCGCAGCUCUUGGCCUAUUGCAGGGAGUAUGCGGGGCCGGGAAGGGCAUCCGCCCAACAGGAAUUCCCUGGGACUUAACUCUGCUUUACUCCUUGCUAGAAACACCCUUGCCCCGUCCAUUUCUUCCUAAAUACCAA
rnacentral:lncRNA from 1 species